UCAGUUGAUGACAUAUUGGAUACACCUGCUGUGGGGUGUACACAGAUUGUUAAUGUCCUGAUAAUCUUUGCAUUUCUGAAACCUCAUCAGGUUGGCCUUUUGCAAAACUGAAAGAUCUGACCUGGCAGUUGUAAAAACUAUCCUGACAUCCAUUUAUCCUGCUUUUUCAGGGGUCAAAAGAAGUGGAGACAACCCCAGCUGUCAUUGAGUGAGAGGCAGGGUGCACCUGAACAAAUAGAGAGAAAAACAAUCAUUCACACUCACAUUUUGCCUUUUUUUCAAGGAUAUUUUUGCACUUUUUGCCUUUCUUUGAUAGGAAGGCUGGAGAAAUAGAGGGAACCACAUGCACUAAACCAUUUCAAGUCCUGCAAACGAGAUCUGCAAUCUCUGCGCAUGGGGCGCACGCUCUUACAAAUGAGCUGGACCAGCAACACAUUCACACUCACAUCUGUGAGUAAUUCUGAGUUACUGGUAAACCUAACAAGUAUGUCUUUGGACUGUAGGAGGAAGCUGGGGAACUUUCACAUGCAGGAGGAGAACAUGCAAGCUCAGUUCAGAAAGGCGUGUGCACAGCUGGGAAUCCUCAGCAGGGGGGCCUUACUGUUGUGGAGCAAGAAAGUACAGACUUCUCAUGCAGUCUGUUGUGAAUACAUAAGGUGUGUUUCUUUGUAGAUUAGCUGGAAAACGUCAAUUGUUAAGAAAUUCACAAUUUCAUGUGUUUGAAUAAAACAUGUAAGCAAACUCUUG